rnacentral:rRNA from 1 species
AACGAACGCUGGCGGCAGGCUUAACACAUGCAAGUCGAACGCCCCGCAAGGGGAGUGGCAGACGGGUGAGUAACGCGUGGGAACAUACCCUUUUCUACGGAAUAGCUCUGGGAAACUGGAAUUAAUACCGUAUACGCCCUACGGGGGAAAGAUUUAUCGGGGAAGGAUUGGCCCGCGUUGGAUUAGCUAGUUGGUGGGGUAAAGGCCUACCAAGGCGACGAUCCAUAGCUGGUCUGAGAGGAUGAUCAGCCACAUUGGGCCUGAGACACGGCCCAAACUCCUACGGGAGGCAGCAGUGGGGAAUAUUGGACAAUGGGCGCAAGCCUGAUCCAGCCAUGCCGCGUGAGUGAUGAAGGCCUUAGGGUUGUAAAGCUCUUUCACCGAUGAAGAUAAUGACGGUAGUCGGAGAAGAAGCCCCGGCUAACUUCGUG